UUACUCUGUGGUGGGCUCUGACAUCCUGGUUAACAUUUAGGUGUAACAUUUAAUAUUUGGCUUUAACUAUUUAAAAUAUCUCUAAGUUGACAAAUAUUGUUGUAAAUGUGCAAAAAAGUGACCCUCAAAAAUUCUUACCAGUUUUUUAAACAUUGUUUGAAGCUAAAUGUGACAAAAUGUUGCUGUUAUUUUCAGCGUGAGCCGCUUUACAAACGGCACCCCAUA